UCUCCCAAAUCUCGCGUGUUUGGUAUUCUUUGCGAUAAAUACAAUAUCAACAUCUCUGUAAAUACUCUGGAUUAUGGUGGAUCCAAAUCGCAGCAGAGGUAACAGCUAUGAGAUAUGUUUUAUGGUAUUCUUUUUCACUGUAUGCUUCAGUUUAGGUUUUCACUUUCUCCAGAGAUCUACACUACCACCAAGUACUUCAGAAGGUUAUGGCUUUCUCCAGAUAGAUACACAUCACCACCACCACCUCCAAGAGGUUAUGACUUUCAGAAACUUGGUGGCAAAGGAUAGUAUUACGACUACAUAUUGAGAUUGGAGAUGAUAAGCUAAUGCUGCAUCAAAAUGUACCAAUAUCAGGAAAUCGAAGAUGAAAAUGUCACACUUAAGGUGAUGUUUUUUUGGAAUCACAUUAACAGAAAAUGGGGGUAUUCUACUUACCCUAUGGUUCCUAGCGGUGUCUGUAAUGCAACCAUGAGUUCAUUGGCAUUGUGACUGAGGAGGGAAGAUGGUGUCAAGUGUAAGCAGUCCACACAGUAUCUUCAGGUUUCCUUUCGAAAAUGAAUGGGCAACACUGUUAAAAGGGGAGUUUGUGAAUGCAUUAUUUAAUCAUGUGUUAAUAGUUGAAGUCAAUUUAAAGUCUUUUAGAAGCAGUUAGUAGGUUUGCACUUGGGUAAAAAUGUAUACAGGUAAGAAACAAUUACAGGUAAAUUUAAAGUAUAUUCACCAUGUGUUAUACAUUCUACUGCUCUAUCUUUAAGAGUUUAAAUUGGUUGUAUUGUCUAUUCUUUUCUUUUUCCUUCUUGCAACCAGGUAAAUAUUUGCGAACAUGUAAGGAAGUAUGUGACAUUGUGAUGAGAGGUGGAUUCACCAUCCACAGCUGUGGUGUUGAGAAAGUUAAAAUGCAAAUCAUCAUCAUUUCACUCUCCGUCAUUGCAAGAGUUACAGGCCAACAAAUCAUAUUUGCAAGUUAAUAUCCCAUGUACGCUAAGGGAUUCUCUAGUAACGGAAACGUUCAACCACACUGGUGAGAAACCAAAGCUCAGGCAUUCAAAUGAACUACUUGCUUUUUUUCAAGUGGAUUAUGGAGAUUAAAUCUCUGCAGCCAUAUUAGAACUCUUCCAAGACACAAGUUUUCCUCUGUCGACUACGAAGGCUUGCAAUUAAGAAUGAGCAACAACUCCUAAUAGGUUUCCACCUAAACUAAAUAUGGUUUAAAAAUGUCGUGCAAUAAUAUCAAAACUGGGCUAUUUGUAUCCGUGUGGUUGGGAUUUUGAGAUGGCUGACAGAUAUAUUUGGAAAACCACGUGUUAUGUGGAAACUGACAGUUGAGAAUCUUUGGUACACCCAACGAACUCCUGACAUCUAUGUAAACGAACCAUUGGGUGAUUAAUGAAAAAUAAUCUUGCGCUGUAA